rnacentral:rRNA from 1 species
AAUGGGCGAAAGCCUGACGCAGCGACGCCGCGUGAGGGAUGAAGGUUUUCGGAUCGUAAACCUCUGUCAGAAGGGAAGAAACCGCACCGUGCUAAUCAGCGGUGCAUUGACGGUACCUUCAAAGGAAGCACCGGCUAACUCCGUGCCAGCAGCCGCGGUAAUACGGAGGGUGCAAGCGUUAAUCGGAAUUACUGGGCGUAAAGCGCACGUAGGCUGCUUUGUAAGUCAGGGGUGAAAUCCCACGGCUCAACCGUGGAACUGCCUUUGAUACUGCUUAGCUUGAAUCCGGGAGAGGGUGGCGGAAUUCCAGGUGUAGGAGUGAAAUCCGUAGAUAUCUGGAGGAACAUCAGUGGCGAAGGCGGCCACCUGGACCGGUAUUGACGCUGAGGUGCGAAAGCGUGGGGAGCAAA